rnacentral:rRNA from 1 species
GAUGAACGCUGGCGGCGUGCCUAAUACAUGCAAGUCGAGCGAACGGACGAGAAGCUUGCUUCUCUGAUGUUAGCGGCGGACGGGUGAGUAACACGUGGAUAACCUACCUAUAAGACUGGGAUAACUUCGGGAAACCGGAGCUAAUACCGGAUAAUAUUUUGAACCGCAUGGUUCAAAAGUGAAAGACGGUCUUGCUGUCACUUAUAGAUGGAUCCGCGCUGCAUUAGCUAGUUGGUAAGGUAACGGCUUACCAAGGCAACGAUGCAUAGCCGACCUGAGAGAGUGAUCGGCCACACUGGAACUGAGACACGGUCCAGACUCCUACGGGAGGCAGCAGUAGGGAAUCUUCCGCAAUGGGCGAAAGCCUGACGGAGCAACGCCGCGUGAGUGAUGAAGGUCUUCGGAUCGGAAAACUCUGUUAUGAGGGAAGAACAUAUGUGUAAGUAACUGUGCACAUCUUGACGGUACCUAAUCAGAAAGCCACGGCUAACUACGUG